CUCCCUGGCUGCUUGAGAGUCGACCGCCAUCAUGAACGACACAGUAACUAUCCGGACCAGGAAGUUCAUGACGAACCGACCACUUCAGAGAAAACAAACGGUCAUCGAUGUCCUUCAUCCUGGGAAGGCAACAGUACCAAAGACAGAAAUUAGGGAAAAACUAGCCAAAAUGUACAAGACCACACCAGAUGUCAUCCUUGUAUUUGGAUUCAGAACUCACUUUGGUGGUGGCAAGACAACUGGCUUUGGCAUGAUUUACGAUUCCUUGGAUUAUGCAAAGAAAAAUGAACCCAAACAUAGGCUUGCAAGGCAUGGCCUGUACAAGAAGAAAAAAACAUCAAGAAAGCAGUGAAAGGAACGCAACAACAGAAUGAAGAAAGUCAGGGGGACUGCAAAGGCCAAUGUUGGUGCUGGCAAAAAGUGAGCUGGAGAUUGAAUAACAGCCGAAGGAGUAAAGAUUGUGCAGUGACGUUAUCUGUAGCCAUCGUGUGGAUUUUUCACAAGAAGAUUAAUAAACUUAAAAACUU